UACGUAGGGGGCUAGCGUUGUCCGGAUUUAUUGGGCGUAAAGAGCGUGUAGGCGGCCAGGUAGGUCUGCUGUGAAAACUCGAGGCUUAACCUCGAGAUGUCGGCGGAAACCAUCUGGCUAGAGUCCGGAAGAGGAGAGUGGAAUUCCUGGUGUAGCGGUGAAAUGCGCAGAUAUCAGGAGGAACACCGGUGGCGAAAGCGACUCACUGGACCGACACUGACGCUGAGGUGCGAAAGCUAGGGUAGCAAACGGG
rnacentral:rRNA from 1 species